rnacentral:rRNA from 1 species
CAGUCUCAGUUCAGACUGUAGGCUGAAACUCGCCUGUAUGAAGUCGGAAUUGCUAGUAAUCGCGGAUCAGCAUGCCGCGGUGAAUACGUUCCCGGGCCUUGUACACACCGCCCGUCACACCAUGAGAGUCGAUAACACCCGAAGCCUGUAGUCUAACAGCAAUGAGGACGCAGUCGAAGGUGGGAUUGAUAAUUAGGGUGAAGUCGUAACAAGGUAUC